CAAAAAAUAGUUUAAAUAAAAUAAUAAUUUUGGGGAUUAUUGAUAAAGAAGUUUCUUUUUUUUUGA
rnacentral:tRNA from 1 species